rnacentral:misc_RNA from 1 species
UUGCCAAGCUUUUUGCUCAAGAUUGGGAGGGUGAUGUCACUGUUGUUAUGCCUGCCACUGUCGCUCAGAUAUCAAAAAUUAUACAAAAUCCAACUGAUGAGGAGCUUCAUAAGGCAAUCAACCAAGGGAGCAGGUGUACAUGGGAGAAACUUUCAGCCAUAAAAGCUAACUGUGGCAUUGAGAUCUGUCUUGAUGAGUGUGUCGCAAUUCUCAACCACAUGCGUAGACUCAAAAGGAGUGCUGAGAGGGCUGCUGCUGCUUCUCAUGGUCUAGCCACCACAGCUGCCAGCACUGUCAAAUUCAGUGCUUCUAAAAGAAUUCCAUCUUGGAACUGCAUUGCUCGAGAGAACUCAACAGGCUCACUGGAAGAAGACCUCACUGAUUUUGCUUCAACAUUUCAUCAAGGUGUUGGUGCAUCUGGAUGGGAAGCGCCUUCUGGUGGAAAUGUGCAGAUGCACCGUAACAUACAUGAUGGAAGCGAUAGUGAAUCUGAAAGUGUAGAUGUAAAUUCUUGGACGAGAUCUGGUGGACCAUUGAUGAGAACUACUUCUGCAAAUCAAUUUAUUGACUUCGUCCAAAAUCUGGAUGUUGAUACUGAAUUGACCGAAGGCUUCAUGACUCAUCCCAACUCUCCAGGGGCUCAGAUGGGAAUCCGGGAUCCAUAUAAUAAGAUGUCCAGGGUGACAACACCAGAGAGAAAUUUGGUAAGCGAAUUUGAACAGAGGGAUUCUAGCAAUAGAUUGUCUGUGAAUAAUUCUAGCAUUACAGUCACUGAAGAUGAAGUUUUGCAGCCUGAAAGGAUCCACAAUGGGUUUGUGUUGAAUGUUGUAAAGAAAGAAAAUCUGGCAUUCUCUAAUAGGACUCGGGACUCGGAGAACUACAAUUAUGAAGUUCCUGAAUGUGUUCAGUUCGACUGUCCAGAAAGGGAUAUGGAUGCUAACUCAGCAUUUGAAUAUGCUGGUGAUGAUGACGACGACAACCAUGCCACUGCAACGAACAUAUCUAACGAAACAGUUUCUGAUCCUUGUUCCAAGAACCGUCCCUGAAUAUAUGAUAGACAGGAACAAAGUUUUAGGAAAAUUUUCUUUUGCAUGAAACAAUUGGGUGGAGCUGAUUCCAGGAUCACCACGAUUUCAAGUGUUGCUGACUGAUUGCAGCAAGAGCAAAUGUAUCAUUGCUUAAAUGUUCAAGGUCACCAUGAUUUCAAGUGUUAGUAGUCAAGAAGAGUGGAGAAUAAAGAAUCAAUUUUUUCAACAGAAGACUGAGGACGAUAAAUGCUUAGAUUUUUUGCUACAAGCACGAUCCAUAUUUGAUAUUGUCGUGCAUUUGCUAAAUCGUUUUUCUGUGUGGAUACCCAGCAGCGUCAUUUUCAUACAUCAUGAAACAGAUAUUUAACACCCCCCUCCCCUAAAGCUCUCCGUGUACAGACUCAAUACCUAGAUUACAAGACUUGUUUUUCUAGAAAAUUGGUAUGAGAAAAAAAAAGAGACUUUGGUGUUUGGUGGUAAAAAUGAUUAGAGUUCCAACUUCUAUAAAUUUCUUAAUUCUGAC